rnacentral:lncRNA from 1 species
UGAGAAAGCGGUUCCAGGGCGCCCAUCUCCGUCUGCCCUGAGCCACCUCUGGAUGCUGCUCAUAGGGAUUCUGCUGCGGUGGACCUGGGGGUGCUCCCGGUGAUACAGGUGCUGGGCCGGGGCCGGGUGGGGACACUGGGCAGCAGUGUUAUCAUGGGUUCCCUCCCAUCCCUGUGCCCACUGGGCUCUGGUCAGAGGGAGGUGGGCUGGUCACUGGUGUCUGGAAGAAAUGAUGGUUCUAGAAAAGCUAGAGAGCCCGCAGGUCCUUGCCAAGAAAGCCAACGCAACACGAGGGUAAAAAUCAUGUUUUUAACACAAGAAAGAGACCUCUGCCUUCCAGCAGGCGGGGCGCCUGCUCCCACCCACGCAGCCCAGGGGCCUGAGGAAUGUGGCCUCAGCCCGCCUUCCUCCCCAAGGCCAGGGAUUCGCUCUUAAAAAAGUUCCCUACAAAAUGAGUUUUCUCCAUCCGCCUAUUUCCAGGCUGUUUUAAGAUCGUUGUAGUCACAUCCCUCUGAGAAACACCCACCUCUGGGCCCUGGAGCUCAGCUGGCAGCAAACACCAGGGACAGAGAAGACCCCUGGGGGUGCUCAGCAGCCCCCGGGUCACCUGGCUGCUGAGCUCCUGAGAGCUAGGGCUUCCAAGAUUGGGGAUUCCGACUUGAACCCCCAAAUGGACAGAGGUCCAUGGCCAGUUGCCAGUGCAGAGCCCUGACCACGACCAUUGGGUGAAGUGGGGGGACAGAGGUGGCCCAGGGCCAACCAGACCCUUUGCCUUAGCUGGAAAAGGAGCUGACAGAGGUCCCAUCCUGGCAGACCAACCCUCUUGUCCUUUAUCAGAUGCCACCAGUCAUACUCAAGUGCUCUAGGAACCAACCUCUGUGACACUUUGGGUAUGUGUCCCAAAGAGGUCUCUGAGGCUCUGAUACCGAGUUCCAUGGCCAAAGACUCCUGAGAAAUGGAGAGUCGACACAGCAGCCUCCUUGCUGGGCAGGCUCUGCCUUGAUAGGUCCUCGGCCUGGGAUCGCCAGCAGGAGGUGAGUCCCCGUCUGCCUGAGCUGACAGUGGCUUUCCAGAGCCUAGCCUGGGGUCUGUAUGCCAGGGAACACACUCUGGGAACCCAGUCAAUGGAAGGCCUUCACAACUAAAAAGUCUUUCUGUUUCUGUAUUAGUCACCUCCUGCUGCGUAACAAAUCACCCCAAACUUAGCAGUUUAAAACAAUAAGCAUUUAUUAUCUCAGUUUCUGCGGGUCAGGAAUUCAGACGUGGUCCAACGGGCUAGUCCUACUGUGGUCUUUCCUGAGGUUGCAGUGAAGCUGUCAGCUGCUGCUGGAGUCGUCUGAAGGCUUCUUCAUGACUCACUCACAUGGCUGGUAUGAAGGUCUCAUCCCUUGCAACUUGGAUUUCUCCAUGUGGCUGCUCAAGUUUCCUCCCAAGAAGUUUCCUCCCCAGAGUGAGUGAUGCAAGACAGCAAGACUGAAGCCCCAAGGCCUUUUAUGACCCAGCCCUGGAUGGCAAUAUGCAUAUGGUAAUUUCCUCGAAUCCUAUAGGUCACACAGUCCAGCCCUGAUCAUUGUGGGAGGAGACUAGGCUGGCUGUGAAUGUCAGGAGAUUCCCAUCUCCCUUCAGAGACCAUCUUGGAAGCUGGCCACCAUGGUAACCAUCGCUUCGUCCCCACAGUUGGCUUGCUGCCAUUCAGUGGACACAAGUGACCUGAGCGGAGCUGUUAACCUGUGGUGGGAAGAGAAGAGGAAGAGGCCAGGAAUCCCCGGGCCUCAUCCAGCUCAAGUAACAAGAGCUGGGGUAGCACAGCCCCGCUGUCGGGGCCUCAGUCUUGACCAGGUCAGGGCAUCGUGCCCUGCGUGCCCCGAGCUCUCAAGCAGCCUGCUCCACCUUUAUCUCUAGGUCAGCUCACUCGUUUCUACGAAGUGCAUGAGGUGUGUAAUAUUUGGGUCAUGCAGCUCCAUCCACGAAGGCAGCUCUCUUCUGGAAGUUCUGAGACACGGUUGGUGACGGUGAGCCUUGUGGGGGCGAUGAGCGCAGAGUGAACUCAGGAUGGACAGAUGCCAGCGAUGAGCAAAUAAUAAAUAGAUGAAAUACUCAUCUCAUCUCCAGGAGGGGGUUAAGUACAUUAGCAAGGCGAGGAGUCGGCGAGCCAGGGGACCCUGGGGUGGCCGGAGCCUCACUGCUGCUGUGAAAACGGCCACAUCUCUAGCUUGGGACAGAGAGGGCUCCCUGGCCGGGAGGCUGAGUGGUACUGAGCAAGCGCCUGGCACCCAAACGUGUGUGUCCCAGGCUGACCCUUGGUCAUUGGCUGUGCUGCCCAGGCAGGUGACUCCACAGCCCUGUGUCCCUGCUGCAGAGUUGGGCAAUGUGAAAUGAGGAUUCAGAGGGAUCACCCCCAUAGGGGCUCCAGAAUGUGGGUCACCAGCUGCUGGCACCCCAAGUGUGAGGGAGCCUUAUAAAAGGAGUCUUAUUGCCUGAAGGGUACAAUGACAGAGUAGAUCCCCACUCUCAGGACAGACCUUCCGUGCUGCCUGGGCCUCCUGCAGUGGUGACCCCAGAGCCUGGAAGGAGCACAGCCCCUCCUCGGCUGGGAGCAUGUAGAGGCACGGAGCCUGCCCAGCCCCUUCCUGUCCUGUUGGGGCACGAUUUUCAAGACAGGGAGCAUCCUGGGUGUGUUUUGGCCUUGGGAGUCUCAACACGCUCCACAGGACUUAGGGCAACUCUGAGUUUGCUGUCCCAACAAAGGGACCAGGCACGGAGACAACACUCAGAGGACAGGGUGCAGGAGCCAGGGCCUGAUCCUGCAGCCGGGCGGGGCCUGGGCAUCAGCAUGGAGGCCCUGAGGCUCCACCCCUCAGAGCUGUGUGACUGUGGGCAAAUUCCUCAGCCUCCCUGGGCCUGAGUUUCCUCACACAUCAACUUCCAAGUUGGGCUUGAGAACUGCUCCUCAGUCUGUUCUGGGGACUCGGAGCUGGCCAUCAGACAGUCCCGUUUCAUCUCCUUGGCUUGUUGGUAUCCAUUAAUAAAGAGGCAGAGG